UACGUAGGGUGCGAGCGUUAAUCGGAAUUACUGGGCGUAAAGCGUGCGCAGGCGGUUAUGUAAGACAGAUGUGAAAUGCCCGGGGCUUAACCUGGGAACUGCAUUUGUGACUGCAUGGCUAGAGUGUGUCAGAGGGGGGUAGAAUUCCACGUGUAGCAGUGAAAUGCGUAGAUAUGUGGAGGAAUACCGAUGGCGAAGGCAGCCCCCUGGGAUAGCACUGACGCUCAUGGCACGAAAGCGUGGGGAGCAAACAGG
rnacentral:rRNA from 1 species